GUUCCUAGUCGGAUUCAUUAACCACUGUGCCACAACAGGAAUUCCUCCAGUUAUGCUUGGACAAGAUAGUGGACAACACUUGGGCCCAGGAUGGCAGCCAGCGGGGUCAGCAGGAUGACCAGACUCAAGCUCAGGUAGGAGCUCCCAUGUACCUGGAUAUGGAGGGGCUGGGGUUGGGAACUGUGUAUACAGCUGUUGACAUUUCCUUUAUGGGGGGACCUGCUGAGCAUCCAGUCCAAGCCACUCCUUUGAAAUGGAACGGCCUCCUUGGAGUCACAUUCCAGGGAAAGGAAAUCAGGAACCAUUUUUUCUGGAGAUAGGCAGCAUGUUGUGAUUUCAUGCAAUAGACUUAUAAGGAGGAGCUUCUUGGAAUUUUGGAAACACAAAGGAAUUCUGUUAAAAAUGUUAUUCUUCCUCCCAAGCGGUUGGGAUGCGGGCCUCCAGGAAGUUUCUGGUCUCUGAUUCCAGGGAGGAAAGUGGAUAGAGAGUGGCCUUGCCUGAAGCAUGCAGAUGUUUCCAGGCCAGGGAUGGAACCCGCUCCAUAGCAGUGACCCAAGCCUCUACAGUGACAUCGCUGGAUCCUUGACUUGCUGUAGCGCAAGAGAACUCUGACAGUCAUCUUCCUAUCAUCUACUCGAGUCUUUCCCAGGAUCCAAUUUUAGCGAGAAAUAUAAAAUAAAACCCAUCUGGUAUCACUUCAGAGA